AUUGAACGCUGGCGGCAUGCUUUACACAUGCAAGUCGAACGGCAGCACGGGGGCAACCCUGGUGGCGAGUGGCGAACGGGUGAGUAACACAUCGGAACGUGUCCAGUUGUGGGGGAUAACCCAUCGAAAGGUGGGCUAAUACCGCAUGAGCUGGCGACAGGAAAGCAGGGGACCCGCAAGGGCCUUGUGCGAUUGGAGCGGCCGAUGUCGGAUUAGCUAGUUGGUAGGGAACGCCUACCAAGCGACAAUCCGUAGCUGGUCUGAGAGGACGACCAGCCACACCGGAACUGAGACACGGUCCGGACUCCUACGGGAGGCAGCAGUGGGGAAUAUUGGACAAGUGGGGGCAACCCUGAUCCAGCGACGCCGCGUGGGUGAAGAAGGCCUGCGGGUUGUAAAGUCCCGUUUCGGUGGGGAAGAAAAGUCUCGACCUAAUACGUCGGGACCUUGACGUAACCCACUAAAG
rnacentral:rRNA from 1 species